rnacentral:rRNA from 1 species
GAUGAACGCUAGCGGCAGGCUUAACACAUGCAAGUCGAGGGGUAUAUGUCUUCGGAUAUAGAGACCGGCGCACGGGUGCGUAACGCGUAUGCAAUCUGCCUUUCACAGAGGGAUAGCCCAGAGAAAUUUGGAUUAAUACCUCAUAGUAUUAUGUUUUGGCAUCGAGAUAUAAUUAAAGUCACAACGGUGGAAGAUGAGCA